rnacentral:tmRNA from 2 species
GGGGCUGAUCGGUUUCGACGUUGGAGCCGGAAGUUUCUUCGUGCGACCGGAGUUGCUCAGACUCCUUAAACGGGGCAACAACAGAGACGCCAAUCAGGACGAUCUCGCUCUCGCCGUCUAACUUUUAGUUAGAUAGCAGAGAGUCAUUGCGAGCAGAAAUGUCACGCGGGGCCAGUUCAUCGCAGCCCGGCAACAGAAGCGGUGAAGGACCGUAGGGAAAGACCACUGACGGCGUGAAAGACCGCUGACAUCGGAGAAAGAUCCGGCAGUAGGAACAGACUUGUUCUGUUCCAAUCGACCCGGCGAUGAGGCAGCUGUACAGCCUCACACUCGGGAAUGGUCGUAGCGCGGGUUGCAACCCUUCAGCGGACGAGGGUUCGAUUCCCUCCAGCUCCACGG